rnacentral:lncRNA from 1 species
UACCACCUUCCCAGUUUCAUCAAUGGCAAUGAUCAUCAUUGCAUCUCAUUUUCAUCAUAUUAUUAUUCUAAAACCUAAAUUUUUCUCCAUUUUAUUUUACUGUCACUUUCCCUACUUUAAUUCUUGUUUUUUCUUCAUAAUUAUUCUGUUCCACAUUAUCCAUUUCAAUUGCAAACUGAGCUGCUCUUAAUUUUAACAAAAGCCCAGCUCCAAUUUUUGAAUUGAUCGCCGACCCAUUUGAGUUUUCUUUAUUAAUUGAGAAUGUAGAUGUCAUAUUUGCAACAAUUUUGAGGAUCCAUUGAAACAUUUUAGGGAUCAAUUGGGGUACAUUCCCAAAGGGUUUUGGAUGCAAUUGAUAGAGAUACA